UUCUCUAAGAAAAUCAUCUAGAGUAAGGCCUGCUCAAUGAAAAAUAAAUAGCCGCAGUAUACUGUGCUAAGGUAGCAUAAUAAUUUGCUCUUUAAUUAAGAGAUAGAAUGAACGACCAAACACCCAAACACUCUCUCUUUUAACCCCUUAAUUAAAUUAAGAAAAAAGUAAAAACUCUUUUAAUAAAGGCGGGACGACAAGACCCUAAUAAACUUAUUCAUUUGGUUGGGGAAACAAACUAAUAAAUAUUUAUUAACACCAAAACACAAAACCCUAAAAUAAGAUAAAGACUAGUUACUAUAGGGAUAACAGCGCAAUUUCUUUCAAGAGCCCUUAUCCGAAAAGAAGAUUACGACCUCGAUGUUGAAUUAACUUACCUAAUUGAAGCAACUCUCAAAUACAGGUAGUCUGUUCGACUAUUAAAAAGUU
rnacentral:rRNA from 1 species